rfam:Hordeum vulgare subsp. vulgare, WGS project CAJW01000000 data, contig: morex_contig_2279097
UAUCUACUCCCUCCAUCCGUAAUUAAUUGUCGCACAAAUGAAUAAAAAGGAUGCAUCUAGAACUAAAAUACAUCUAGAUACAUCCAUUCUUAUGACAANNNNNNCCGGACGGAGGGAGUAUUAU